rnacentral:rRNA from 1 species
AGGGAAUAGAUACCCUGGUAGUCCACGCCCUAAACGAUGUCGACUAGGUGUUCGGUGAGGAGACUCAUUGAGUACCGCAGCUAACGCGUGAAGUCGACCGCCUGGGGAGUACGGUCGCAAGAUUAAAACUCAAAGGAAUUGACGGGGACCCGCACAAGCGGUGGAUGAUGUGGAUUAAUUCGAUGCAACGCGAAAAACCUUACCUACCCUUGACAUGUACGGAACCCUGCUGAGAGGUGGGGGUGCUCGAAAGAGAGCCGUAACACAGGUGCUGCAUGGCUGUCGUCAGCUCGUGUCGUGAGAUGUUGGGUUAAGUCCCGCAACGAGCG